rnacentral:rRNA from 1 species
ACCUUUGACAUGUACGGAAUCCUUUAGAGAUAGAGGAGUGCUCGAAAAGAGGAGCCGUAACACAGGUGCUGCAUGGCUGUCGUCAGCUCGUGUCGUGAGAUGUUGGGUUAAGUCCCGCAACGAGCGCAACCCUUGUCAUUAGUUGCUACAUUUCAGUUUGGGCACUCUAAUGAGACUGCCGGUGACAAACCGGAGGAAGGUGGGGAUGACGUCAAGUCCUCAUGGCCCUUAUAGGUGGGGCUACACACGUCAUACAAUGGAUGGUACAAAGGGUCGCCAACCCGCGAGGGGGAGCCAAUCCCAUAAAGCCAUUCGUAGUCCGGAUCGCAGUCUGCAACUCGACUGCGUGAAGUCGGAAUCGCUAGUAAUCGCGGAUCAGCAUGUCGCGGUGAAUACGUUCCCGGGUCUU